UUCCAACAGGGAUUGCCUCAGUAACGGCGAGUGAAGCGGCAACAGCUCAAAUUUGAAAUCUGGCCCCAGGCCCGAGUUGUAAUUUGCAGAGGAUGCUUCUGGUUAGGUGCCUUCCAAGUCCCCUGGAACGGGGCGCCGAAGAGGGUGAGAGCCCCGUCCGGUUGGCCGCCAAGCCUGUGUGAAGCUCCUUCGACGAGUCGAGUAGUUUGGGAAUGCUGCUCUAAACGGGAGGUAGACCCCUUCUAAAGCUAAAUAUUGGCCAGAGACCGAUAGCGCACAAGUAGAGUGAUCGAAAGAUGAAAAGCACUUUGAAAAGAGGGUUAAAAAGUACGUGAAAUUGUUGAAAGGGAAGCGCUUGUGACCAGACGUGUGCCGGGGUGUUCAGCGGGCGUUCUCGCCCGUGCACUCGCCCCGGUACAGGCCAGCGUCGGUUCGCGCGGGGGGACAAAGGCGUUGGGAACGUAGCUCCUCCGGGAGUGUUAUAGCCCAGCGUGCCAUGCCCCCGCGCGGACCGAGGUUCGCGCUCCGCAAGGACGCUGGCGUAAUGGUCUCCAGCGGCCCGUCUUGAAACACGGACCAAGGAGUCGAGGUUUUGCGCGAGUGUUUGGGUGUCAAACCCGCACGCGUAAUGAAAGUGAACGCAGGUGGGAGCUUCGGCGCACCACCGACCGAUCCUGAUGUUCUCGGAUGGAUUUGAGUAGGAGCGUAGGGCCUCGGACCCGAAAGAUGGUGAACUAUACGUGGAUAGGGUGAAGCCAGAGGAAACUCUGGUGGAGGCUCGCAGCGGUUCUGACGUGCAAAUCGAUCGUCAAAUCUGCGUAUGGGGGCGAAAGACUAAUCGAACCAU
rnacentral:rRNA from 1 species